UCUUGCGCUUUGAUCGACUCUUGCAGCUGAGCUUUGUCCGCCGUGGUGCUUCUUAACGGGAAGACUUAAACGUGGAUUCAGUAGAGAACCAUGCUAUUCUUAGGGAAAAGAUAAAGUUCCUGGAUCUUUGUAUGAGGAUUCAUGCUGAUUUGGUAACCCCAGUCUGGAGUCACACCAGCUUGGUGAGAGCAGGGUACAGUGGAUAGAGGAUUCCCAGAAGCAGAGUGCUUCCUAACUGAGGCACAAACAACACUUCCUUCAGCCACUGUAUUCCACGUUGAAGAUCUGCCACCCAGACACUGAACAUACACAAAGCUGGUUACUUUCAAAGAACUGACAAUUUAGUAUAAUUUUAAAAAAUAAAUGAUGGCUUCUAAUGCUGCCAUCUGCAUUUCCAUCUUUUCCUUCAAUAAAACUUUGAAAACAACGAGAUCUACCUACAGCAGAUAAUGGAUUUAAUCUAGAAUACUGGUUUUCAAACUGUGGUGGCAGCUUGAGGGUGCAAACCUCACUUCAAAAGAUCAAAACG